rnacentral:rRNA from 1 species
GAUGAACGCUAGCUACAGGCUUAACACAUGCAAGUCGUGGGGCAGCGGGUGCUUAGCUUGCUAAGUAUGCCGGCGACCGGCGCACGGGUGAGUAACGCGUACCGAACCUGCCCAUCACACAGGGAUAGGCUUGCGAAAGCAAGAUUAAUACCUGAUGGUCUCAGUUGUAUGCAUGUAUGAUUGAGUAUAGCCUUCGGGCGGUGAUGGAUGGCGGUGCGUCCCAUUAGGAUGUUGGCGGGGUAACGGCCCACCAAUCCUUCGAUGGGUAGGGGUUCUGAGAGGAAGGUCCCCCACAUUGGAACUGAGAUACGGUCCAAACUCCUACGGGAGGCAGCAGUGAGGAAUAUUGGUCAAUGGGCGAGAGCCUGAACCAGCCAAGUAGCGUGCGGGAUGAAGGCCCUUGUGGUCGUAAACCGCUUUUAUCAGUGAAUAAAGUGCAUCACGUGUGGUGUCAUUGCAGGUAGCUGAAGAAAAAGGACCGGCUAAUUCCGUGCCAGCAGCCGCGGUAAUACGGAAGGUCCGGGCGUUAUCCGGAAUUAUUGGGUUUAAAGGGAGCGCAGGCGGGAGUAUAAGUCAGCUGUUAAAUAUCAGGGCCCAACUCUGUUAUGCAGUUGAAACUAUAUUUCUUGAGUACGCACAGGGAUGGCGGAAUUCAGGGUGUAGCGGUGAAAUGCUUAGAUAUCCUGACGAACUCCGAUCGCGAAGGCAGCCAUCCGGGGCGUAACUGACGCUGAGGCUCGAAGGUGCGGGUAUCGAACAGG